CGGGCGUUGAGUAGCAUGGCAGACGGGUGAGGAGCGCGUAUCUGACUGGACUCAGGCUGGGGGAUAGUCCCUCGAAAGGGGGUUGAAUACCGCAUGUGCUCGGUGCUGUGAGGGCAUCGAGGAAAGUUGGCCUCUGCGGGCACGCUGAUGGCCUGAGACAGGGAUGCGUCCUAUUAGCUAGCUGGUGGGGUAAGGGCCUACCAGGGCGACGAUGGGUAGCUGGUCUGAGAGGAUGAUCAGCCACACUGGGACUGCGACACGGCCCAGACUCCUACGGGAGGCAGCAGUGGGGAAUUUUGCGCAAUGGGCGCAAGCCUGACGCAGCAACGCCGCGUGCAUGACGACGCCUUUCCGAGGUGUAAAAGUGCUGUCGACCGGGACGAAGGGGCGAGGGUGAACAGCUUUCGCGCAUGACGGUACCGGUGGAGGAAAGCCCGGCUAACUCCGUGCCAGCAGCCGCGGUAAGACGGAGGGGGCGAGCGUUGUUCGGAAUUACUGGGCGUAAAGCGCGCGUAGG
rnacentral:rRNA from 1 species